rnacentral:rRNA from 1 species
CACGUAGGGCGCAAGCGUUGUCCGGAAUUAUUGGGCGUAAAGAGCUCGUAGGCGGUCUGUUGACGUCCGCUGUGGAAAACUCGGGGCUUAACCCCGAGCCUGCAGUGGAUACGGGCAGACUAGAGGUAGGUAGGGGAGAAUGGAAUUCCCGGUGUAGCGGUGAAAUGCGCAGAUAUCAGGAGGAACAGCCGAUGGCGAAGGCAGAUCUCUGGGCCGUAACUGACGCUGAGGGAGCGAAAGCAUGGGGAGCGAACAGG